UUUUUUUUUUUUUUUAAAUCAGGAAUCAUGUCUGAAAGCUGCCACAACCAGUUGUAUAGGCAUGUCAAAAUGACUUUAUACAGUCAAUAUGAAACAAGCAUUAAAUAUUUUUUCUCAUGUUGUUGCUUUUAUCAUUAUGAAUUCCUUGCUUGUUGCCACCUAAGAUACGAUGGAGCAAGCACAGUCUUAAAGAAGAUUUGCUGAUUUUUUGUUUUUCUCAGCAGACCAGAGUAGGACAUCCAUAAAAAUUCAUCAGAGAGCAUUUUACUACUGAGCUGCAAAGGGAAAAACUUAAAAUGGAUAUGAAAAGUGAAGAAAGUGAUCAUAGGAGAAAACCAUUUCAGAUCAACCACCUCAGAAGAGCCAGAUUCCACUUCUGUGGCCAGGACUUUUACAUUAUGGCUGGUCCGAUUGUUUUACCCUGCGUUCUAUGCUACUAAACCUUGGAUCAUUCCUAAAGUACAAAUUCUGUUCUCGAACCACAAACAAGGCUAAAAGAUCGGAGGAAAUUCAGUGAAUAUACAGGAUUGGGGUGUCUGAUGAUUUGUGAGCCUCAAGUGACUACUCUGUGGAAUCAUCUGUCCUUGCCUUUGAAUUAGCUUUCCCUAGGCCAUGAGUCAACAUUAGUAGUUUAUACAUCCAAAUUGAUGACAAGAGCACCUCAAAGGCAGCAGCCUCAAGGAGCAGCCAUGGCCCCAGACUUGUCGCACGGAUGCAGAAAACUUAAUGGAGGAGGCUGAGGUCAGAAUGGGAAGAGUUUUUAAAAAAUAAAAAGGGGAGCUAAUAUG
rnacentral:lncRNA from 1 species